rnacentral:misc_RNA from 1 species
UGCUUGGUGUUGGACGGCCGGUCGAGGACUCCCUCGCACCCCUCCUAACUUUAAUGACGGCGGCCUGUGGUUCCCCCGGUACAAUGAGCUUCUCACCGAGCACGUGCCGGACAAGGCGCCCAGGACCCGGUCUUCUCCUCUCACGAGGAAAUUUUUACAAGGUUGACCUCGGAUCAGGUAGGAAUACGCGCUGAACUUAA